rfam:Catenaria anguillulae PL171 BCR44scaffold_135, whole genome shotgun sequence.
GGUCCUGUAGCGUAGUGGUAGCGCGUGGCUCUCCUAAGGCUAAGGUCGAGGGUUCGAAUCCCUCCAGGAUCG